UGCUUAUCCAUUUCAUGUAAACGGAAACUGG
rnacentral:piRNA from 1 species